rnacentral:lncRNA from 1 species
CUUCUCAUUUCUCCAAGUGUGUUCUUCCCUUCCCAAAAUCUUCUCUCUCUAAAGUAGUGUCUUCCCCUUCAAAAUCAUGUUUUAGGAUGUAUUUACAGUGACUAGGGUUUGUGUUGGGCGAAUUUUUCUUCUCCUAUUUCGGAUUGAAAAAGCUAAUUAUUCUGCUCCGAUCCUGGUCUGGCGAGUGAACCAUGCUUCGCUAUUUGGGAUUUUC